rnacentral:rRNA from 1 species
GUCUAUGGCCAUGCCACCCUGAACAAGCCUGAUAUCUGAUCUCGGAAGCUAAGCAGGGUUGGGCCUGGUUAGUACUUGGAUGGGAGACCACCUAGGAAGACCAAGUGCCGUAGGCA